UUUUGGGAUUUUGAUUUGGGUCACAUGAAAUGCGCACCCGAGUUUAAGAAAGUAGCUUUAUUAAAUGUGCGCCUAAAGCAACUAGCGCGUUGAUAUCUUUGUGGGAAGCUAUGAAAAAGUGCUAAAUGGCACGUCCUGAUUUUUAUGUUUUUUAAUGAAAGCAACUAAAGAGGGCCACAUGCAAUUUAUGUUUUUUAUUUGGCGUGGCACACCUCAAUUUCAUUUUUAAGGAUAUUCGACAAAAAUUCAGGAAGUCUAAGAACCUUUAUUAUCUAUAUUGACUCAAUUCUUAUUUUGUAUAAGAGGUUUAUAUAGGUGACCUUAAAAUGGUUAGAGGCUAAUUAGUUAAAAAAAAAAAAGAGCUCAUCAAGAGGAGGUAUCUAUCUUAAGCGAAUUGAGCUAGAUUCUAGGAAAAUAGGAUAUGGUCCAUUAAUUAAGAGGAAAUGUCCUUCAUGGUCCUUCAGCAUCAUGUUCUAAUUGAUGAGCCUAAUUUGUUGGCAUGGGACAUAUACAAGCAUACUAUUCAAAGGCCCAUGUGCCAAAUAUUAGUAGCAAUCAAAGUCAGACUCAUGCUAAGAGAGGCGUAUCUAGUAAGAGUAUCUACAUAAUGGAUCAAAACAAAGUUACAUUCGAAACAUGCCAAAUAAACCUCAUAUAGCAGACCACAGUAUUCCCAUUUUUUAAACUAAAACAUAAAACAUAGAUUAUGCAAUAACAACUACUGAAACCAAGGAAAUUUUAAAUAGCUAUCCCUUCAAUGAUCAAGCUAAGAUUGUCACUUGUUAUUUCAAGCUUAAGCAUGAUUGUAUCAGCAUAAGUUCUGAUUUCAAACUACAAAACCACGGACCUACUUAUGUAUCCUUCAUGCAUAUUUAGCAAUCAUUGUUCACAUGAGUAUUUAUUUUCUAUUACAGAACCAAGAGUCCAGCAUUUUUUAGAUAGCUAAAUACAAGUUCAAAUCAUACAGCAUGGCUAGACAUAUUCAACAGGAGCACAAGGAACUAUCCCAUAACAUGAAAAUAAGAGUGUAAACAAUUAGAGUCAAUAGCCUUCUAAUGAUCAAACAUGGGUUUUGUUCAAAUUUCAACAUGAAUAUAAAAUUCCAGAUACAAUUCCAGUCUGGUUCCAGCUUGCAGCACUUAUCUAUUAGCAAAUCGUAUGGAGAAAUACCUGAAAUGUGAGGAAAGUACAGCAAAGGAGUCAAAGACCAGCAGCAGCAAAUUAGAAAUAACAGCCAGAAAAUAGAGCCGGAA
rnacentral:lncRNA from 1 species